GAGCUGCACCUCGCCUAAACCAAACAGAGUGAUUCCAGCAGCAUCCUGUGGCGUGUAACAUCCGAGAAACUUUGGACCCGAAUCUUCCAACUCUGUGCAGAGUUCAUGUGUCGAGUCAGAAAGGACCAGAGGGCCGCACCCACUUAAGGAAGAUAUAUGAAGCUCUGCAGAAAUGGAGAGCGCUGGAUUACAUUAAGACUAGAGCUCCUGCUCCAGAUCUUGCCGGAGAUUUCUGUUUGGCUGAAAAACAUGCUUCUUGCAAAAACUUCUGACUUGUUUCCACCAAGCUGGUUCGUUUCUGGAAGAUUCUGGACAAACACUCACCUCUCUAACUCACCUGCCUGUCCAACAGCACAAACUCCUCACAGAAGCCUGACCGGUCGGUCCUCCCGUCAUGCUGCUCCCAAGUAAAAAUACUCAUCAGCAC
ensembl:lncRNA